GGGCGCGUAGCUCAGCGGAAGAGCACCUCCUUGACAUGGAGGGGGUCACAGGUUCGAUCCCUGUCGCGCCCACCA
rnacentral:tRNA from 2 species